rnacentral:lncRNA from 1 species
UUGUGACCUUCGGACCAACAGGGUUGACCACUGAAGUCAAGUCUGUUGAGAUGCAUCAUGAAGCUUUGACCGAAGCUCUUCCUGGUGACAAUGUUGGGUUCAAUGUUAAGAAUGUUGCUGUGAAGGAUAUCAAGCGUGGGUAUGUUGCCUCAAACUCCAAGGAUGAUCCUGCUAAGGGUGCUGCCAGUUUCACUUCCCAGGUUAUCAUCAUGAACCACCCUGGUCAGAUCGGAAAUGGUUAUGCUCCAGUGUUGGAUUGCCACACUUCUCACAUUGCUGUUAAGUUCCAAGAGCUGUUGACCAAGAUUGACAGACGAUCAGGAAAGGAGCUUGAGAAGGAGCCCAAGUUUUUGAAGAAUGGUGAUGCAGGUAUGGUUAAGAUGAUGCCGACCAAGCCUAUGGUGGUGGAGA